CCUACGGGGGGCAGCAGUAGGGAAUCUUCCACAAUGGGCGAAAGCCUGAUGGAGCAACGCCGCGUGGGUGAAGAAGGUCUUCGGAUCGUAAAACUCUGUUUUUAGAGAAGAAAGAGCGUGAGAGUAACUGUUCACGUUUCGACGGUAUCUAACCAGAAAGCCACGGCUAACUACGUGCCAGCAGCCGCGGUAAUACGUAGGUGGCAAGCGGUAUCCGGAUUUAUUGGGCGUAAAGGGAACGCAGGCGGGCUUUUAAGUCUGAUGUGAAAGCCUUCGGCUUAACCGGAGUAGUGCAUUGGAAACUGGGAGACUUGAGUGCGGAAAAGGAGAGUGGAACUCGAUGUGUAGCGGUGAAAUGCGUAGAUAUAUGGAAGAACACCAGUGGCGAAAGCGGCUCUCUGGUCUGUAACUGACGCUGAGGUUCGAAAGCGUGGGUAGCAAACAGGAUUAGAUACCCCUGUAGUC
rnacentral:rRNA from 1 species